UACAGAGGUCUCAACCGUUGUUCGGAUUCAUUGGGCGUAAAGGGCGCGUAGGCGGCCAGCACAAGUCAGUUGUGAAAUCUCCGAGCUUAACUCGGAAAGGUCAACUGAUACUGUGCGGCUAGAGUGCGGAAGGGGCAACUGGAAUUCUUGGUGUAGCGGUGAAAUGCGUAGAUAUCAAGAGGAACACCUGCGGCGAAGGCGGGUUGCUGGGCCGACACUGACGCUGAGGCGCGAAAGCCAGGGGAGCAAACGGG
rnacentral:rRNA from 1 species